rnacentral:rRNA from 1 species
GCCAAAUAAAAGUCCAACCAAUACACAAACAUUUGACACUACAAACAAACAAAACAUUUGAUAAACCUAGUAGAGGAGAUCGAACAUUAAUAAUGGCACACAACAUAAGUACCGUAAGGGAAACAAACUUAAGCAAAAAAUAGCAAAGAUUAAACCUUGUACCUUUUGCAUCAUGGUUUAGCAAGGACCACCGGGACAAGAAGAGUCAAAGCCCCACACACCCGAAACCAGACGAGCUACUGCAAAGCAGCCUAUAAGGGCGCACCCCCUUCUGUAGCAAAAGACGCGGGAUGACUACGCAGUAGAGGUGAAAUGCCUAUCGAGCCUGGAGAUAGCUGGUUACCCAAAAAAGAAUAAAAGUUCAACUUUAGACCAACCAAACACAACCUAGUACUCUAAAGACAUUCAAUAGGGGUACAGCUCUAUUGAAACAGGAUACAACCUGAAAUUGAGAGCAACAUGAAAUUAAACCCACCAGUAGGCUUUAAAGCAGCCACCAAAAAAAAUAUCGUUCAAGAAUUAAAAUAAAUUAAUACCAAACCACAACCAAUACUCCAAUCAAUACUUAGGGUCAGCCUAUACAAAUAGACGAACCUAUGCUAAAACUAAUAAUAAGAACUAUUCUCUAAGCGCACUUGUCUACAAAACACGUAAUUAACAGACCACAAAAGGAAACAACCAACCAAUUCCCACUAUAAAACACACUGUGACACCAACCCAGGGGCGCGCAAAGAAAGAUAAAACAUUACAAAAGGAACUCGGCAAAUAAUGACUCCAACUGUUUACCAAAAACAUAACCUUUAGCCAAACAAGUAUUAAAGGCAAAGCCUGCCCAGUGAGACCAUCUUUAACGGCCGCGGUACCCUAACCGUGCAAAGGUAGCGUAAUCAUUUGUCUAUUAAUUGUAGACCAGUAUGAAAGGCUACAUGAGAGUCAGACUGUCUCUUGUAAUGAAUCUACUAAACUGAUCUCAUAGUCCAAAAGCUAUGAUAACCAUAUAAGACCAGAAGACCCUGUGAAGCUUAAACUAACCUUCUAAAACAACUAGAAGCUACUUUCAGUUGGGGCGACUAUGGAACAAAACAAAACUUCCAACACAAAAUACUUCAACAGGCAUACAAGCCUCUAUACGACCCAGUCUAACUGACUAACGAAACAAGUUACUCCAGGGAUAACAGCGCUAUCUUCUUCAAGAGCCCAUAUCAAAAAGAAGGUUUACGACCUCGAUGUUGGAUCAGGACACCCAAAUGGUGCAGAAGCUAUUAAAGGUUCGUUUGUUCAACG